GGGGGCUUGGUUGUUUUUCCGUCAGUGGCCAGUCUGGGCUCCCUGAGCCAGAAGGCUGGCUGUGCGCGCUCUGUCCGUUAACUUCUUUCUUCUCUGGAAAUUGCCCACAAGAACAAUGAGGUCAAGGGAAGAGCAGCGUGAGAAAGCCAUUCCCUGUAGAGUCCAUGCAGCAGAUGUUCCCACUGUGGAAGCCCGACUUACAUGCACUUUCUGGAAAGACUGUGGCUCUCAUUAGAGGCCUGGUAGCUCUUCACCCCUCUCCUCUUCACAAGUCUGACAGCCUGUGCUGCCUGGGAAAAGGACCGGCCUUGACAGGAGCUCUGGUCUGGUUUACCAUGUGUGUCCUCAGCUUGUCUCUCUCACUGUCCUUUCUUGAUUCUUAAACCUCUUUCCUUUGGCAGGAUCGCUGCAGAGCAGAGCAGUAGAUUGGCAAAAUAUAGGACACUACGGUAAAGAUGAAGGGUGACUCCUCCCAGAGGCAGGCUCCCUCUCCCAUCUUGCCCACUUCAUGCAUGCCAAUUACUGUCCCAUUU
rnacentral:lncRNA from 1 species